rnacentral:rRNA from 1 species
AACUGAGCUUCCUCUGCCUCAGCCAAAAGCACGCACGGCCUCCUCUCCCCCACACACCACCCCGAGUGGCCGACAGCCCACAUCAAUCACGCAGCCAUAGUACCAGCAGCUGCUACUGUCGCUAGGGAGCUCGGCGAGUGCGACGCCGAGGGGGAUCGAGAUGGCGGGCGGCGGAGGGCUGGGGAAGGUGAAGGCGGGGAGCCGGCCGCCGUGGGUGGGGCUGGCGGCGGCGGUGUGGGUGCAGGUGGCGGCCGGCAGCGCCUACGUCUUCCCGCUCUACUCGCACGCCGUCAAGGAGGCGCUCGGGUACAACCAGAAGGCGCUCACCAUGCUGGGCGUCGCCAACGACGUGGGCGAGAACGUGGGGUUGGUCCCCGGGGUGCUCGCCAACCGCCUCCCGCCCUGGCUCAUCCUCCUCAUCGGCUCCGCCUGCGCCUUCUUCGGCUUCGGCACCGUCUGGCUCGCCGUCACCAAGACCGUCGCCAUGCCCUACUGGGUGUUGUGUAUAGCUCUAUGUGUCGGCACAAACAGCAGUGCAUGGUUGGGAACUGCGGCGCUUGUGACCAACAUGAGGAACUUUCCUCUCAGCCGAGGAACCGUUGCCGGUCUCAUCAAAGGUUAUGUUGCUGUUAGUGCUGCUGUCUACACGGAAACGUUCAAUGGAAUGCUUAACAAUUCGCCCACAAACCUUUUGCUGUUGCUUGCUUUGGGGAUCCCGGUAGCAUGUGUUGUGGUGAUGUAUUUUGUCAGGCCCUGCACCCCAUCACUGGAUGAGGAUAAUGCAACAGAACACAGCCACUUCGUGUUCACGCAGGUCUCUAGCGUGGUUCUCGGCGUGUACCUUAUGGUGGCUACGAUACUCGGCGACACUUUGAACCUAAGUGCGACUAUCACCUACCUUUUAUUUGGUAUAAUGAUACUCCUGCUCCUUUCUCCACUUGCCAUACCAAUCAAAAUGACACUUUAUCCAAGCAAGCCAAAGGAGGAGAAGGCCAGCGCCCUGCUUGUUCCGUCUUAUUCAACGGAUAGUUUGUCCGGUGCGGAUCAAGAGAAUGGAGAACCGCUUCUGCGUGGCACGUCGGCGACGUUUGUUCCAGGCAACAAUGAUUCUGAUGAGACUGAUCUGGAUGUUCUGCUUGCUGAGGGUGAGGGAGCAGUGAAUUUGAAGAAGAGGAAAGGGCCAAGAAGAGGGGACGAUUUCACAUUUGCUGAAGCCUUAGUUAAGGCAGAUUUCUGGCUACUGUUUAUUGUAUACUUUUGUGGUGUUGGCACUGGUGUCACUGCUCUGAACAACCUAGCUCAGAUUGGGACUUCUGUUGGUGCUAAUGACACAACUGUUUUGUUGUGCCUCUUUGGCUUCUGCAACUUUGUUGGCCGUAUCCUUGGUGGAUCAAUCUCUGAAUAUUUCGUAAGAACAAGAAUGCUUCCUCGUCCUUUCUGGAUGAUGUGCACACAAAUAAUCAUGGUGGUAACCUUCCUCCUUUUUGCGACCGGCCUCCACAGCCUGAUCUAUGUGUCAACGACGCUGCUGGGGAUAUGCUACGGGGUCCAGUUCGCAGUCAUGAUACCGACCGUGUCGGAGCUUUUCGGGCUCAAGGACUUCGGGCUGAUGUACAACUUCAUGCUCAUGGUGAACCCGAUCGGCGCGUUCUUUUUCUCGGCCCUCCUCGCCGGUUACGUCUACGACAAGGAGGCGGAGAGGCAGAACCCUGGCGUGCUGGACCCUUCAAACUGCUUUGGACCUGACUGUUUCAGGCUCACAUUCUACGUCUGUGCCAUGGUGUGUUGCUGUGGAACCCUGAUCUGCCUAGUUUUCAUCGCGAGGAUCAAGCCGGUUUAUCAGAUGCUCUACGCCAGCGGGUCGUUCAGACACCCUCGACAGCAGCAGCUGUACUGAUGGACGGCGUAUAUUAUCCCACCGUUGUUUGCUUGAUUCAUCCCUUGUUGGUAUUGGAGCAUAUGAGAGAGUUCCUUUCAUUCCAUAAUUUGUUCCUGUUGUGUAAGGUAAGGUAUCCAGCUGCUCAUCGACGAUACCGCUGGACGGAAACUUGGGGGUGUGUAUAUAUGAGCAGAUGUUGUACUGUUGUAAAUCAGGAGACCAGGGAGGUUUUGGGCAUGCUGUGGAAUGAGCAGUAUCUUGUGCAUUCCACUUCGUGGUACCACGAGUUUAUGUAUUCUAUAUCAAUCUCAGCGUCCUGUAUUGUACUAGUAUAUUCUGAACUCUGAAGGGGCAGCUUGCAGUUGCCAGCAGUACAAUUCUUUUGCAUAU